GGAGAGGUACUCCCAAGUGGUCAAAGGGAGGUGCUCUUACUGCGUCUUGAAACAGAGACGGAGGCAUGUGAGGCUCUCUAUGAGAGCGGGGUACUGUCGCUACUAAGACUUCGAGGGUUCGAAUCCCUCCCUCUCCA
rnacentral:tRNA from 1 species